CCUGGUGGCUCAGAUGGUAAAGCGCCUGUCUAUAAUGCAGGAGACCAGGGUUCAAUCCCUGGGUCAGGA
rnacentral:tRNA from 1 species